GACGAACGCUGGCGGCGUGCUUAACACAUGCAAGUCGAACGGAAAGGCCCUGCUUGCAGGGUGCUCGAGUGGCGAACGGGUGAGUAACACGUGGGUGAUCUGCCCCUUACUUUGGGAUAAGCCUGGGAAACUGGGUCUAAUACCGGAUAGGACCAUGCUGUAGGUGGUGUGGUGGAAAGAUUAGUUUCGGUAAGGGAUGAGCUCGCGGCCUAUCAGCUUGUUGGUGGGGUAAUGGCCUACCAAGGCGUCGACGGGUAGCCGGCCUGAGUGGGUGGACGGCAACGUUGGGACUGAGAUACGGCGCAGACUCCUGCGAGAGGCAGCAGUGGGGGAUAUUGCGCAAUAGGCGCAAGGCGGAUGCGGCGACGCCGCGUGGGGGGUGACGGCCUUCGGGUUGUAAACACCUUUCAGCCAUGACGAAGCCCUUGUGGUGACGGUAGUGGUAGAAGAAGCACCGGCUAACUACGUG
rnacentral:rRNA from 1 species